ACGCUGGCGGCGUGCCUAAUACAUGCCAGUAGAACGCACAGUUUAUACCGUAGCUUGCUACACCAUAGACUGUGAGUUGCGAACGGGUGAGUAACGCGUAGGUAACCUGCCUGGUAGCGGGGGAUAACUAUUGGAAACGAUAGCUAAUACCGCAUAAUAUUAAUUAUUGCAUGAUAAUUAAUUGAAAGGUGCAAUUGCACCACUACCAGAUGGACCUGCGUUGUAUUAGCUAGUAGGUGAGGUAACGGCUCACCUAGGCGACGAUACAUAGCCGACCUGAGAGGGUGAUCGGCCACACUGGGACUGAGACACGGCCCAGACUCCUACGGGAGGCAGCAGUAGGGAAUCUUCGGCAAUGGACGAAAGUCUGACCGAGCAACGCCGCGUGAGUGAAGAAGGUUUUCGGAUCGUAAAGCUCUGUUGUAAGAGAAGAACGGGUGUGAGAGUGGAAAGUUCACACUGUGACGGUAUCUUACCAGAAAGGGACGGCUAACUACGUG
rnacentral:rRNA from 1 species